GAUGAAGAACGUAGCGAAAUGCGAUAAGUAAUGUGAAUUGCAGAAUUCGGUGAAUCAUCGAAUCUUUGAACGCACAUUGCGCCCGCCAGCACUCUGGCGGGCAUGCCUGUUCGAGCGUCAUAUCAACCAUCAAGCCCCCAGGGGCUUGUGCUGGGGCCCUGCGGCUGCCCGCAGGCCCUGAAAACCAGUGGCGGGCUCGCUAGUCACACCGAGCGCAGUAGCACAUCUCGCUCAGGGCGUGCGGCGGGCUCCUGCCGUGAAACCCCCCACUGUAACCCCAAAGGUUGACCUCGGAUCAGGUAGGAAUACCCGCUGAACUUAAGCAUAUCAAUAAGCGGAGGA
rnacentral:misc_RNA from 1 species